rnacentral:rRNA from 1 species
CUUUUUUUGUAUUGGUUUAAAAAUAUAACCUGCCCACUGAUAAGUUUGAAGGGCCGCGGUAAUUUGACCGUGCAAAGGUAGCAUAAUCAUUAGUUUUUUAAUUGAAGGCUGGAAUGAAUGGUUGGACGAGAUAUAAGCUGUCUUAAAUUAUAUUGGUAAUUGAAUUUAAAUUUUAAGUAAGAAUGCUUAAAUUUUUUUGUGGGACGAGAAGACCCUAUAGAAUUUGAUAUUAUAAUUAUAUUGGUUGUUUGUAAAUAAUAAUAUAUAUUAUAAUAUUUAGUUGGGGUGAUUAUAAAAUAUAAAAAACUUUUUGUUUAUAUACACAUAUAUUAAUGGUUAUGAGAUCCAUUAUUUGGUGAUUAUAAGUUUAAAUUACCUUAGGGAUAACAGCGUAAUUUUUUUUACGAGUUCUUAUUGACAAGAAAGAUUGCGA